ensembl:lncRNA
AGAUCUUGCUCUGUCGCCCAGGCUGGAGCUAGAGUGCAGUGGUGUGAUCUCGGCUCACUGCAACCUCCACUUCCCGGGUUCAAGCAAUUCUCCUGCCUCAGCCUCCCAAAUAGCUGGGAUUACAGGCAUGUGCCACCAUGCCUGGCUGACUUUUUUGUAUUUUUAGUAGAGACGGGGUUUCACAAUGUUGGCCUGGCUGGUCUCAAACUCCAGACCUCAGGUGAUCCGCCCGCCUCGGCCUCCCAGAGAGCUGGAAUUACAAGUGUGAGCCACAGCGCCUGGCCUCUACCCUUGUUCUUAAGCAUCUAUACUAUACUGUCUGUUGGACAGAGGGAUAAAUCCACAAAGGAUUAGUACUCAUUCUGGAUUUUCCCUAUGGCUAGCAGGUAAGGUUAAGUUCAAGAAAAGAAAUACAGUACUGGUUCACUGAGGGAGCUAACCCAUAUGAGAGCCAGAAGAGUGGAAAAAAACACAAAAGUCAAGAUAGUCAAAAGAGAAAGAGCACAGUGUGCAGUUGAGAAAUGGACAUUUUAAGGCUCAGCUUGAGAAAGUCCACAUAUAUCUAUAGCAUGAGGAGGAUGACAUUAUGUUCCCAUAGGAUCAACCUGAGUACUUGGAGAGGAGAUGAGAGGAGAAAAUGAGUGAGGUGAAUUGAAUAUGUCUUAAAUGGAAAAAGUCUUACCAAUAGAAAAAAAAAUUAAAGUAUUUUAGGUUCUUCUGCAAAGUAGAAUAGCAACCCAACUAACUUCAAACGCUAGUCAACCUAUCUGGCAGGCAGCCUCCAGGGCUCAGUACUACCUAUAACUUGGAAUGCAAAGUAUUAAUUAUGAAUAAGAGAGGAAUUCAAGUCCUUGAUUUCCUUACAAGAAAGUAGUUAUGGGUGUGUCUCCAUGACAUUUGCUAAUGUUCAAUGUUUAAGAACAUCAAAGCCAAAAGGGAAGAUAGACAAAAUAUUCAACAGUUUAAUGUCCAGGCUCUAGGUUGGAAAAGGAAAAGACAAGCAUGUAUUUCUUUGAGGGGGUAGACUGGACCUUAAUUCCACAUGUAUUCGUUUGCUGUAUUCUUUGAUUGAGUCUAUUUCUCUGUAUGCAAAAAUCCCCUCCCAUCACAGACUAUCCAAUGAAAAAUGAAAACGAGAGACAGAGGAAUCCUAGGAUAAUUCAAUUUGUCAUAUUCAGAAGGCCCAAGGACUCAAAAUUCCAACCCUUUCCUUCAGAGACAGUGCCCCUGAGGCCAUUCCCAGUUUGAUAAUUUGUUUCAGUUAUGCUCCCCACACAAAAGUUAUGAGUCAUAUAAAACUGUAAAAUGUCAAAUAGUCAACUUGCAAUCAUCAUCACUUUGCUCUGGAUACAAGAAUCCCAUAAUUUCUUGUAGCAUACUUCUUUUUUACUGUAAGAUCUCAGAUUCGGAGAAAGGUGGAACAGGGAACUGCGGCAUUCACAAGAAAGAAGGUGAAGAAAGCAGGCAGCUUCAAAUAAAGGAUAUUCUAAAAUAACAAGACUAAAAUGAAUUUUUUUCAGGAAUUCUAAACUCUAACAGCUAUUCUCCAGGUAUCAGAAAAGAACACUGUUCUCCUCCAUAGCUGCAUUAGCCUUUCAGAAAAUGGUCACUCUUCCGUGUAGGGGAGACACUAAUAUCACAAAGGAAAAGGUGGAGAGCUGUAAUCGGUGCCUGAAAACAAUGACUGAUGAGUCCACACAAACCAAACCUCCAACACACACUACCCAGAAAUAAUAACAGAGUAGGGGAAAAGGUAUCCAUGAAGUUGAGAGGGGAAAUCAGCCAGUCAGUGUUUCCUUCAGCGAUAUUAUCUCCAAAUCCCAUGGCCAAUUUAUUUGUUAGUUCCACCCAGUGGAAGCUCAAGAAAUUCUAUAAAUGAGUCUCAGGGUUGGCAGGUGAAUGAGUAGGGUGUGCACAGGUUAGGUGACUUGUCUUGAAGCUGCCAGCAGAGCAAGCACACUGUUUUUCACUUAGAGGGUAUAUUUUAGGGGUGGUUAGAUAUGCAAAGAGUCCCAAGUCAACCCGUGGUGCUGGUGCUGCGUCUAUCCCAUAGGACCUUCACAUUCUUCCCAGGUAAGACAUAGAAUAGCCAGAAACUUAUUCACAGCAUAUGCUCCUAACCUGUCCCUGUGGCCUCUCCACCUAGAACAUGGGAGUGAAGAAACUGGGCAUUUUAAACAAUUUACUUCAGCUUUGCAUUGAUAUUUUCAGUUUUAAUUAGUUUGCAAAAUAAGCUGUACAACAUUUUACGACUUUUCCCCAGUUGCUUCACAUCAGCAGAAUCCAGAAAAAUAUUUAGACCAAGAAACACUUUGUGGCUUUUAUAAGCUCUCAAUUAGUUCCCGUGUUGGCUCUGUUAAGUUCUGCCUUAAAGAAAAUCAGGUUCAAAUUCAGCUUAAGGCUGGGUGUGGUGCCUCACGCCUGUAAUUCCAGCACUUUGGGAGUCCAAGGCAGAUGGAUCAGCCAGGGUUUCGAAACCAGCCUGGUCAAGAUGGUAAAACCUCGUCUCUACUAAAAAUACAAAAAAAUUAGCUGGGCAUGGUGGCGCAUGCCUAUAAUCCCAGCUACAAGGUAGGCUGAGGCAGGAGAAUCACUUGAACCCAGAAGACAGAGGUUGCAGUGAGCCGAGAUUGCGCCACCACACUCCAGCCUGGGCCAGACUGUCUCAAGAGAAAAAAAAAAAUUCUGCUUAAAUACUGAGACCCACAACAGACAAAGGGAGAAAGGUGGGAGGGGAAAGGGACCCAGAAGUAAAAGUAAAGGCAGACUAGAAGGACACUAGCUCAGUCUCAUCACCACAACCUCUGACUUUUAUCAGACAAAAAAGGAUAAGGCCUAGUUUUCAUUAGGGAGAAUCUUUGUCUCUUUAAAGAUACUUUUUUUUUUUUUGAGACAGGAUCUUGCUCUGUCACCUGGACUGGAGUGCAGUGAUGUGAUCUCUGCUCAAUGGGGACCUCUGC